AUUCAUAUUUAUUCUUAUAGGUUGAACGUGAAAAGACCAGAAAGAAACGGAAGAAGAAAAAAGAAAAGGACAAAGAUUUUGAUCAAGAUUUUCAGUUCUCUGGUUCAGAUGACGAGGGACAUGUGAAUGGCUGGAAUCUUGAGGAAACUGUUGCACACUUGAGAAAGGAGGCUGUGGUAUGUUUCUACAUUCUACUAUAUUUCCAGUGAAUUUAGUUAUUCCAAUUUUAGACAAUUUUUUAUCAAACUAAAUUAAUGACUUAUUUUUUGCCUCAAUAGCUGCGACAGUCAUCAACCUGACACCCCAUUUUCUCACUGUGAUCUUAAAUAAUCAGACACUAAAAUUGUUUAUUCUCCUUUACUGUUUUUUGAAGCUCUGCG